GCUUAACACAUGCAAGUCGAACGGUAACAUAAAGAAUCUUGCUUCUUUGAUGACGAGUGGCGGACGGGAGAGUAAUGCUUGGGAAUCUACCUUAUGAAGGGGGAUAACUACGGAAAACUGUACCUAAUACCGCGUAGAAUCCAAAGAUGAAGGUGUGGGACCUUCGGACCACAUGCCAUACGGAUGAGCCCAAGUGGGAUUAGGUAGUUGGUGAGGUAAAGGCUCACCAAGCCGACGAUCUCUAGCUGGUCUGAGAAGAUGACCAGCCGCUCUGGGACUGAGACACGGACCAGACUCCUACGGUCAGGCAGCAAUGGGGAAUAUUGCACACUGCGGGCAACCCUGACGCACCCAUGCCGCGUGAAUGAAGAAGGCCUUCGGGUUGUAAAAUUCUUUCACGUCUGCGAGGAAGGCACUAAAUUUAAUAAACUAAGUGAUUGACGUCAACUACAGAACAAGCCCCGGCUAACUCCGUGCCAGCAGCCGCGGUAAUACGGAGGGCGCGAGCGUUAAUCGUAAUAACUGAUCGUAUGGGGCACGCAGGCGGCGACUUAAGUGAUGUGUGAAAGCCCCGGGCUUAACCUGUCAAUUGCAUUUCAUACUGGGUCGCUAGAGUACUUUAGGGAGGGGGAGAAUUACCCGUGGAGCGGUGAAAUGUGUAGAGAUGGGGAGGAAUCCGGAGGAGAAGGCAGCUCCUUGGGAAUGUACUGACGCUCACGUGCGAAAGCGUGGGGAGCACACAGGAUUAGAUACCGUGAUAGUACACGCUGUAAGAGAAGUCGAUUUGGGGGGUGAGCUUUGAGUUUUGCGUCCGUAGGUAACGUGAUAAAUCGAUCGCCUGGGGAGUACGGCCGCAAGGUUAAAACUCAAAUGAAUUGACGGGGGCCCGCACAAGCGGUGGAGCAUGUGGUUUAAUUUGAUGCAACGGGAAGAACCUUACCUACUCUUGACAUCCAGAGAACAUUCCAGAGAUGGAUUGGUGCCUUUGGGAACUAUGAGACAGGUGGUGCAUGGCUGUUGUCAGCUUGUGUUGUGAAAUGUUGGGUUAAGUUCCGCAACGAGCGCAACCCUUAUCCUUUGUUGCCAGCGAUUAGGUCGGGAACUCAAAGGAGACUGCCGGUGAUAAACCGGAGGAAGGUGGGGAUGACGUCAAGUCAUCAUGGCCCUUACGAGUAGGGCUACACACGUGCUACAAUGGAGUAUACAGAGGGAAGCGAGAGUGCGAGCGGGAGCGAAUCUCACAAAGUCCGUCUAAGUCCGGAUUGGAGUCUGCAACUCGACUCCAUGAAGUCGGAAUCGCUAGUAAUCGCAAAUCAGAAUGUUGCGGUGAAUACGUUCCCGGGCCUUGUACACACCGCCCGUCACACCAUGGGAGUGGGUUGCACCAGAAGUAGAUAGGUUAACCUUCGGGAGGCCGUUUACCACGGUAGGAUUCAUGACUGGGGUGAA
rnacentral:rRNA from 1 species